rnacentral:rRNA from 1 species
UAGCAUAUCAAUAAGCGGAGGAAAAGAAACUAACAAGGAUUCCCCUAGUAACUGCGAGUGAAGCGGGAAAAGCUCAAAUUUAAAAUCUGGCGGUCUUUGGCCGUCCGAGUUGUAGUCUGGAGAAGCGUCUUCCGCGUUGGACCGUGUACAAGUCUCUUGGAACAGAGCGUCAUAGAGGGUGAGAAUCCCGUCUUUGACACGGACUACCAAUGCUUUGUGAUGCGCUCUCAAAGAGUCGCGUUGUUUGGGAAUGCAGCGCAAAAUGGGAGGUGAAUUCCUUCUAAAGCUAAAUAUUGGCGAGAGACCGAUAGCGAACAAGUACCGUGAGGGAAAGAUGAAAAGCACUUUGGAAAGAGAGUUAAACAGUACGUGAAAUUGCUAAAAGGGAAACGCUUGAAGUCAGUCGCGUCGUCCGGAACUCAGCUUUGCUUCGGCUUAGUGCACUUUCCGGUUGACGGGCCAGCAUCGAUUUUGACCGCUGGAAAAGGGCUGGAGGAAUGUGGCACCUUCGGGUGUGUUAUAGCCUUCAGUCGCAUACAGCGGUUGGGAUCGAGGAACGCAGCGCGCCUUAUGGCUGGGGUUCGCCCACAUUCGCGCUUAGGAUGCUGGCAUAAUGGCUUUAAACGACCCGUCUUGAAACACGGACCAAGGAGUCUAACAUGCCUGCGAGUGUUUGGGUGGAAAACCCGAGCGCGUAAUGAAAGUGAAAGUUGAGACCUCUGUCGUGGAGGGCAUCGACGCCCGGACCUGACGUUUUCUGAAGGAUCCGCGGUAGAGCAUGUAUGUUGGGACCCGAAAGAUGGUGAACUAUGCCUGAAUAGGGUGAAGCCAGAGGAAACUCUGGUGGAGGCUCGUAGCGAUUCUGACGUGCAAAUCGAUCGUCAAAUUUGGGUAUAGGGGCGAAAGACUAAUC